GGACUACUGGGGUUUCUAAUCCUGUUUGCUCCCCACGCUUUCGCACCUCAGUGUCAGUGUUGGACCAGGAAGCCGCCUUCGCCACUGAUGUUCCUCCAGAUAUCUACGCAUUUCACCGCUACACCUGGAAUUCCGCUUCCCUCUUCCACACUCUAGCAAGACAGUCUUGAAUGCAAUUCCCAAGUUAAGCUCGGGGAUUUCACAUCCAACUUAUCAAGCCACCUACGUGCGCUUUACGCCCAGUAAUUCCGAUUAACGCUCGCACCCUCUGUAUUACCGCGGCUGCUGGCAC
rnacentral:rRNA from 2 species